CGGCGGACGGGUGAGUAACGCGUGGGUAACCUACCCUGUACACACAGAUAACAUACCGAAAAGUAUGCUAAUACGGGAUAAUAUAUUUGAGAGGCAUCUCUUGAAUAUCAAAGGUGAGCCAGUACAGGAUGGACCCGCGUCUGAUUAGCUAGUUGGUAAGGUAACGGCUUACCAAGGCGACGAUCAGUAGCCGACCUGAGAGGGUGACCGGCCACAUUGGAACUGAGACACGGUCCAA
rnacentral:rRNA from 1 species